rnacentral:rRNA from 1 species
GACGAACGUUGGCGGCGUGCUUAAUACAUGCAAGUCAACUGAAGCAGUGGUAGCAAUAUCGCUGUGGAGGUGGCGCACGGGUGAGUAACACGUAGGUAAUCUGCCUUCAGGUCUGGCAUAACUCCGGGAAACCGGGGCUAAUAGCAGAUGAUGCAGCGGCUCGACAUCGAGACAGUUGUUAAAGCUAUGGCGCCUGAAGAUGAGCCUGCGUCUGAUUAGCUAGUUGGCGGGGUAACGGCCCACCAAGGCAACGAUCAGUAGCUGGUCUGAGAGGAUGAUCAGCCACACUGGAACUGAGACACGGUCCAGACUCCUACGGGAGGCAGUAGUAAGGAAUAUUGCUCAAUGGGAGAAAUCCUGAAGCAGCAACGCCGCGUGAGGGACGAAGGGCUUUUGCUUGUAAACCUCUGUAGUGAGAGAAAAAAAUCCCAAUCUUUGGGACAUGAUGGUAUCUCAAAAGUAAGCCCCGGCUAACUACGUG